rnacentral:rRNA from 1 species
AUUGAACGCUGGCGGCAGGCUUAACACAUGCAAGUCGAGCGGAGAUGAGGUGCUCGCACCUUAUCUUAGCGGCGGACGGGUGAGUAAUGCUUAGGAAUCUGCCCAUUAGUGGGGGACAACAUUCCGAAAGGAAUGCUAAUACCGCAUACGUCCUACGGGAGAAAGCAGGGGAUCUUCGGACCUUGCGCUAAUAGAUGAGCCUAAGUCGGAUUAGCUAGUUGGUGGGGUAAAGGCCUACCAAGGCGACGAUCCGUAGCGGGUCUGAGAGGAUGAUCCGCCACACUGGGACUGAGACACGGCCCAGACUCCUACGGGAGGCAGCAGCGGGGAAUAUUGGACAAUGGGGGGAACCCUGAUCCAGCCAUGCCGCGUGUGUGAAGAAGGCCUUAUGGUUGUAAAGCACUUUAAGCGAGGAGGAGGCUACUGAGACUAAUACUCUUGGAUAGUGGACGUUACUCGCAGAAUAAGCACCGGCUAACUCUGUGCCAGCAGCCGCGGUAA